rnacentral:rRNA from 1 species
GGGUGGUAAACUCCAUCUAAAGCUAAAUACUGGUGAGAGACCGAUAGCGAACAAGUACUGUGAAGGAAAGGUGAAAAGAACUUUGAAAAGAGAGUGAAAUAGUAUGUGAAAUUGUUGAUAGGGAAGGAAAUGAGUGGAGAGUGGCCGAGGUUUCAGCCGCCCCUCGUGGGCGGUGUACUGCCGACGCCGAGUCAUCGAUAGCGAGACGAGGGUUACAAAUGGGAGCGCCUUCGGGCGUUCUCCCCUAACCCUCCACACUGCCACCGACGACAUAAUCCACCCAUUUCACCCGUCUUGAAACACGGAC